AAUGCCAUCAUCAGGUACAAUUGACAUUGUGCUAAUCUUAUCAUUAUCAUCUCUGCAAUCACCUGCAGUCUCCAGAGAUUUGAUCGGUAUAUUAGAAGCCUCGUCCAACACAGUGUGGCCAGCCCUUGAAAGCUGAGCCAUUUGUCGGUCACCAUAAUGAUUAUGCAACGAACUAUGAGCAUCCAAGCCAGGAACAAUCUUUGCGCAUAAACCAAGAGAUGGCAGGUCAGGAUUGGAGGUACUGUAAACCCCGGUAUAUUUCUGAUU
rnacentral:misc_RNA from 1 species